CUUAUUACACUCAUCCAUUUUAUUAAUUUGAACUUUGAAUAGAUUCCGACAGAAUACACAACCAAAAACUUAGGAAUACUAAUGUUUUUUCCAUCUCCAUUACUCCUUAAUAAAACCACUAGAUUCCAGCUUAAUUACGAAAUUUAUACAUAAGUAGAUAUUGGCCAAUGAUUCAUUUGGCCAUUUAUUCCCAUUAUGAACAUCCAAAACACACGACCAAAAACAAAUCCCAAACACUCAGCAUAAAUACACAAAAAAAGAGCUCACAAUAGAUAUAUAAUUAAUCCAACAUGCAUUGUUGAGCACUUCAUCAUCUUACUCAACUGGAAGCAAUUGGUGCAGAUUUUAGCUCACCCAUCUCCAUAUAGCACCUUAGAAAGUCUCUUGGUAUGCAAAGGCAAAUAAGAAGCCACAGCACGAGCAGCUCCUGGGGCUACUGAAUAAGCUUGGAUAGAUGCCCGCUUGACAAUUGGAGGAACAAUGCGAUCUAAAACAGUGACAUAUGCAUCAACCCUACGGUCUGCAAACUUGAGAACCUUGUUGGGAACAGGUUGGAACUUAUUAUAGACGGGUCUAACCACGCUCUUAAACCUACUCUCAACAGUAUUGACGCCAGGCUUGAAUGGACCAGACUUGUCCUUGGCAAAAAGGUAGAGCUUUGAGAAAGAAGCCCUGGCAUAAACUGUAGCCGCUUGCACAAAAUCCAAAUACUUUAGGCUCUCUUCCUCCUUAUUAGCCUCUUCUUGGAUAUUCGCCUCUCCUUUAUUCGUCUCUUCUCGGAUAUUCGCCUCUUCUUGGGGAUUCUCCUCUCCUUUAUUUGCCUCUUCUUGGAUAUUCACCUCUUCUUCACCUUCAGCCAUAAUUGAAGCCUUUAAGCAGAUAUGGAAGAUCAAAAUUCAAAACUCAGUCGUUGAAGUUUGAAAAAAAUGGACCCGCCUUUCCAAAAACA
rnacentral:misc_RNA from 1 species